AGUAUGACUUAUACAUCCUUUUGAAUAUGUUAUAUCACUAUGAAAGCAUUUACUUUUCCUGCCAUUUAUUUCUUUAGUUUAAAAUAAUAAUGUAUAUUUCUUAUUUAAUAAGGUGUAAUCCUUCUGGAGCCACAAGAACUUUAAGCCAAGUCAAAAUGAAACACAAAAACAUUCUGCAAAAAGGUCAUAUUUGAUUACACAAUUACUGAACUAUUAUUAUAACAGGAUUUAGUAUAUUCAUUCUGUCAUGUAGCUAAUAGAAAGAAGACUGAAGCCCGUCUAACUGGUGGGGGCCCACCACCACCUCCCCUCAACCUAUAUGAGGAGCUGGCUCUGUCCCUUAAUAAACGGCGACCAGUGGUUGCUGGCAUUCCAGGGGGCAGUUCAUCGCACACACCAUGCACCACAAGUGAUGGUGAAAAAAUGGUGAAAUGCUUAUUUAUUAUUGGACCCUCCAGAAAGAACAAAGUCUGUCACAGUUGAUGAUGAUGAUAAAGAUGACGAUGAAGAGACCACAUCUGCUGUGACAGAAGUGGACAAUGCUGGUAGAUCCACUGAGUACAUACCUAGGGAUUUGCCCACAGAUGAGGGUCCUUCAACCUCAGCACACAAUCUAAGCAGGUUGCCAGCAAAGGAGCUGUAUAAGGUCCAUCUUCAAAAACAAAUAAGAAAAAGUGACAUGGAGAUGGACCUUAUACCGCUUCAAAUGGAAGAGAAAAGGCUCCUCAUUAAAAAAGCAGCACUUGAAAUUGAAUUACUGGAACAUCGCCUUAAGGAAAUAAAGAAAUAAACUGCCUGGCAGACCAGUGCAAAAAAAUUAAUAAAAGUAAUUUUGACAGAUCCUGUCUCUCAAAAGUCUUCCGUCUCUGUUGGCCUCUAAAAUCUGUA